AAUAUUGCGCAAUGGACGGAAGUCUGACGCAGCGACGCCGCGUGAGCGAUGAAGGCCUUCGGGUCGUAAAGCUCUGUCCUUGGGGAAGAAGGUCUUCGGACUUGACGGUACCCAAGAAGAAAGCCCCGGCUAACUACGUGCCAGCAGCCGCGGUAAUACGUAGGGGGCGAGCGUUGUCCGGAAUUACUGGGCGUAAAGGGUGCGUAGGCGGCCCUUUAAGUCAGAUGUGAAAGGCCACGGCUUAACCGUGGGAUUGCAUUUGAAACUGGAGGGCUUGAGUGUCGGAGAGGGUAGUGGAAUUCCCAGUGUAGCGGUGAAAUGCGUAGAUAUUCGGAAGAACACCAGUGGCGAAGGCGGCUUACUGGACCAUUCUUGACGCUGAGGUGCGAAAGCGUGGGGAGCAAAC
rnacentral:rRNA from 1 species